rnacentral:ncRNA from 1 species
UAGGUGCCGAACCUGAGAGAAAGGUACGGCUUAAUAGGGAAACCCGGUGCAAAUCCGGUACGGUCCCGCCACUGUAAACGGGGAUAAGACGAAAACCGUCAGAAUGUAACCCGUAAGUCAGGAGACCUGCCUAACU